CGGGGUGUGGCCUAGCCUGGUUCAAGGCACCUGUCUGGGGGACAGGAGAUUCGUGGGUUCAAAUCCCACCACCCCGA
rnacentral:tRNA from 1 species